GCAUAUCAAUAAGCGGAGGAAAAGAAACCAACCGGGAUUGCCUCAGUAACGGCGAAGUGAAGCGGCAAGAGCUCAAAUUUGAAAGCUGGCUCCUUCGGGGUCCGCAUUGUAAUUUGCAGAGGAUGCUUCGGGUGCGGCCCCUGUCUAAGUGCCCUGGAACGGGCCGUCAGAGAGGGUGAGAAUCCCGUCUGGGAUGGGGUGUCCGCGCCCGUGUGAAGCUCCUUCGACGAGUCGAGUUGUUUGGGAAUGCAGCUCUAAAUGGGUGGUAAAUUUCAUCUAAAGCUAAAUACUGGCCGGAGACCGAUAGCGCACAAGUAGAGUGAUCGAAAGAUGAAAAGCACUUUGAAAAGAGAGUUAAAAAGCACGUGAAAUUGUUGAAAGGGAAGCGCUUGCGACCAGACUCGCCUCCAGGGUUCAGCCGGCAUUCGUGCCGGUGUACUUCCCUGGGGGCGGGCCAGCGUCGGUUUGGGCGGCCGGUCAAAGGCUCCCGGAAUGUAGUGCCCUCCGGGGCACCUUAUAGCCGGGAGUGCAAUGCGGCCAGCCUGGACCGAGGAACGCGCUUCGGCACGGACGCUGGCAUAAUGGUCGUAAACGACCCGUCUUGAAACACGGACCAAGGAGUCUAACAUCUACGCGAGUGUUCGGGUGUCAAACCCGUACGCGCAGUGAAAGCGAACGGAGGUGGGAGCCCCCUCGUGGGGCGCACCAUCGACCGAUCCUGAAGUCUUCGGAUGGAUUUGAGUAAGAGCGUAAAUGUGGGGACCCGAAAGAUGGUGAACUAUGCCUGAAUAGGGCGAAGCCAGAGGAAACUCUGGUGGAGGCUCGCAGCGGUUCUGACGUGCAAAUCGAUCGUCAAAUUUGGGUAUAGGGGCGAAAGACUAAUCGAACCAUCUAGUAGCUGUCUGC
rnacentral:rRNA from 1 species